UAUAGACAUUGUUGCUUUUGGAAUUGUAUUCGUUUAUAAUUGUUGUGUCUGUUUAAUGACAUUGUUGUAUUCGACAUUGUUGUAUUUGUAUUUGUUGGAGAGUGUGUUGAGGAGAGUCAGGAUGUAGAAAUGAGUUGCAAGCGAGAGAGAGAGAAGAGGAGGAGGGAAGUGAAAAUGUGGCAUAGACUGUGAAUGUACAUCAGAGAGAAGUACAGAAGCAUAAGUGAAUUUAAGAAGGGGUACAAACCUAGGAUACAUUUAAUCAAGGACGAGAAUGGGGAUCUGCUCGCGGAAUCACAUGGCAUCGUAGACAGAUGGAGAGAUUACUUUACUAAGUUACUAAACGUUCACGUAGCUGACCAAUUUAAUGAGCCUGAAGUACAUACAGCAGAUUGCCAUGAAGUUAGUAAUUACGAUGGCUAGAAACCAAAGGUCCCAGCACAAUGCAAUUGUAUCACUGGCCAACGACGGCAAUCUGGUCUUCUAUAAAAAUUUGUGAUUAGUCGUUGUCGUCAACCAAUCUGUCGUCAAAAAAUGACGUCAUCAACAAUGCCAACAGAUAUUUGUUUACUCGGCAUUGUUGCACAACAAUGCCGAGAAAACAAAUAAUGAUUCACAACAAAAACUAUCAAGCCAGUCGCAUUGUCACUGCUCCAGAAGGAGCACUUAGCGUUCUUGAAUACUGACUGACAGUUGGCCUAAAACAUCAGAAAAGUGAAAGAAGACGUUAUCAAGUAUUUGAAGUACCAACUCCAACAACUCCAACAAGGAUUUCCACUAUGACGGGUUACUAGCCCACAAACAGGUCUGUAUAUCAUAAGAUGGGCCACCUCAGUGGGGAUCUAUCCCCUUAAGAAACUCACAGGGACAAAGCCUCACUGGCCUUUUGUUGGGCUUGAAACCCCUGGGAUUCUACAACGCCUCAAGAGGAUCACGACUGUUCUUAAGAGAAUUGACAACAAUGCCACUUCUGGUCCUAUGCACCUCCGAGUGGAUGUGAUCCCCAGAAGUAGCCUAGUCCUGUGGGUAACCAAACCCUUUGGAGCAGCCCCAAUUCAUCCAAGGCCUGGGUGAUCUGAAGAGAGAGUGUAGAAGCACAGGGGUUUCUAACCAAGCAAAGAAGGGCACAGGGAUAAAGCUAUCAAUGUAAAGCCCAUAACAAGGCAGGCCAAAUACAGAGAAAGUCCCUACAAGGUGGUGACCAGAAUCAACGACGUGGUUUACCGGAUUCAGCGGCAUACCUGGGCCCGGAUGAUGGUAGUACACCUGGACAGGUUGGCGCCGUACUUGGGUGCUGCUCGGGACGAGCAGCUUUAAGGAGGGGGUAGUGUUAUGCGUCGCCGUGGG